rnacentral:rRNA from 1 species
UCGAACGAUGAACCACCUUCGGGUGGGGAUUAGUGGCGAACGGGUGAGUAACACGUGGGCAAUCUGCCCUGCACUCUGGGACAAGCCCUGGAAACGGGGUCUAAUACCGGAUACUGAACCACUUGGGCAUCCUGGUGGUUCGAAAGCUCCGGCGGUGCAGGAUGAGCCCGCGGCCUAUCAGCUUGUUGGUGAGGUAACGGCUCACCAAGGCGACGACGGGUAGCCGGCCUGAGAGGGCGACCGGCCACACUGGGACUGAGACACGGCCCAGACUCCUACGGGAGGCAGCAGUGGGGAAUAUUGCACAAUGGGCGAAAGCCUGAUGCAGCGACGCCGCGUGAGGGAUGACGGCCUUCGGGUUGUAAACCUCUUUCAGCAGGGAAGAAGCGAGAGUGACGGUACCUGCAGAAGAAGCGCCGGCUAACUACGUGCCAGCAGCCGCGGUAAUACGUAGGGCGCGAGCGUUGUCCGGAAUUAUUGGGCGUAAAGAGCUCGUAGGCGGCUUGUCGCGUCGGUUGUGAAAGCCCGGGGCUUAACCCCGGGUCUGCAGUCGAUACGGGCAGGCUAGAGUUCGGUAGGGGAGAUCGGAAUUCCUGGUGUAGCGGUGAAAUGCGCAGAUAUCAGGAGGAACACCGGUGGCGAAGGCGGAUCUCUGGGCCGAUACUGACGCUGAGGAGCGAAAGCGUGGGGAGCGAACAGGAUUAGAUACCCUGGUAGUCCACGCCGUAAACGGUGGGCACUAGGUGUGGGCGACAUUCCACGUCGUCCGUGCCGCAGCUA